UUUUAAUUUUUGCCGCUGAGGGGUUGACCAAGCGAAGCGCGGUAGGUUUUCUGCUUAGGAGUUUAAUCAUGUUUCAGACUUUUAUUUCUCGCCAUAAUUCAAACUUUUUUUCUGAUAAGCUGGUUCUCACUUCUGUUACUCCAGCUUCUUCGGCACCUGUUUUACAGACACCUAAAGCUACAUCGUCAACGUUAUAUUUUGAUAGUUUGACGGUUAAUGCUGGUAAUGGUGGUUUUCUUCAUUGCAUUCAGAUGGAUACAUCUGUCAACGCCGCUAAUCAGGUUGUUUCUGUUG
rnacentral:rRNA from 1 species